UUUAAACUGUCAAACGUUGGCCCAACGUUGGUUCGUUGUUAGAUUUUAAACCCGACAAUGAAUUUUUUAUUUUUUGAGAAAUUUAGUGGAGCAUUGUAAAUUGUAUUGGGCUUAAUUAUUUAAAACUGUUGGGCCAUAGAUGUUGGCCAUUGUUGCUCUGUUGAGGGAUGUUAAUUGUUUAUAUAAAUCUGAUGAGCUGUAUGUACACGUGUAGCUGGAGCGCCUAUUGCAUAACGAAUCUUAAAGUGUCGAAAUUAAGAGGCAGACGGAGCUCCUUUACUGCCCAAGUAUCUAGGUCAGUGCUACUCACAGCAUGGGACUGGCCAGUUUCCUUGGAGAUCGGUCAUCUGAUAUAACCAGGAUGGUCAAAACUGCCACGUUUUAUUUGGAAUAUAUUGCAACCGUUGUGCGUGUACACCUAUAGUAAAUAGUGUUUUUUCUACUCUACGAAUUAUACAUUAGAAGAGUGGGGAUAUAUAUGCUACAAAAACCGCAGUAAGAAAAAAACAGACUGUGUGCCUCUGCAACAAAUAUAGAGAUAGGGAAGGACGGGUUCCGUUUUUCAAAGACCGUGAAGGUGAAGGGAAAAAAAGGAAAAAAGAAAAAAAGCAAGGAGGUAACCCAAGCCACUGAACAUGCUGAAGCCAGUGACCCGGACAGUGAUCAGACCCUACAGUUCGAUUGUUACUAAGGAAUUUACAUAGACAAAGAAAUAUGCUAGCGAUUCUUUUUAAUUCUAAAAAGUGUUUAAAUGUAUUGUAAAUUUUUACUAAGAAAAAAUAAAAUCUGUAUACUAUG